GGAGGAAUACCCAAGUCUGGCUGAAGGGAUCGGUCUUGAAAACCGAGAGGCGGGUCAAACCGCGCGGGGGUUCGAAUCCCUCUUCCUCCUCCA
rnacentral:tRNA from 3 species